rnacentral:lncRNA from 1 species
ACAGAUACAUAAUAACUUCUUAGUGAUCUGCACCCACUGUGUGUGGCCCAUUCAUUACAAGGCACCAAAGCUUUAGCCUAUUGUGUUUAAUUCCCUUAAAGUUCAUGUGACUGUCAAUUCCUGUUAUCCACAAUUUAGAGAAAAAUUAGAAUGCUUGAGGAAACAAAUUUUGAAGUGACCAAUUUUAUUGUACCUUAAUGCCCUGUCACAUGGCUUUGCUUAGUUCACUAAGGGAAAAAAAAUGUGUGAGACCUUGGUGUUUUAUGUCCUACUGUAAAUAAUUAUAUCGAUUUGAAUAACAUCUGGAAAAAUCUUGAAGCCCUUUACUUGAAAUGAUUUUAUGAACAGGCACUACAUUCACUCAACCACUUUAGUAGUGUCACUAGUGUGAUGAAAUGUGGCUGUGAAAGACCUGAGAACAUAAUCAUUUGGAUAGCCAGACAGCCAAGGCUGAAUGGCAGCAAUUGGAUAUGUGAUCUUGGACCUGAGUAUGAAGCCAAUAUCGGUGAUAGAGGUAACAAACACACGGAAUUGUGAGUCUCAAGAAAGGUCAGAAAUGAGAGGAUCAGCAUGAGGAACAAGGACAAACCAUCCAAAUCAAGGGAAGAAAGCCCAGGUAUCUAUUAGGCAGUAUAGCCACUGGCUAUGACAGAAAAUGUCACCAACCAGAAGCUGACAAUCAAGAGAGCCCUUUCUCAGGGCUAAGAAGAAGGAGUGAAAAAUAAAUCUAGAGGGGCCAAUGAAAGAUAUCUGACACACAUAAAAUCAGUCACACAUGGGUGAACUGUAAGAGACUGAAAGUAAAUAAAUGAAUGAAGUUACCCUUGUCAAGCCCUCCAGUUAUGGAACUCCUCCAUUUCCCUCAAAAAACCUCAUAUAAUC